GGAGCCAAAACCAAGAGCUGUGGAUUUGGACAAGUGGACACUGAUAACGCACAUCCUACAUGAUAUCCAUGUGAUGCAAAAUCUGAAAUUGGUGAUGGAUCGUUAUCUGCUGGGCUGCAAGGAGAAAGCUCCGUGUGUAACCCCAUCAGACACGGUGAAGCUUGUGCCAGUGACAACCAGAAGAAGAGUUGUCUGCUUGGAUGGUUUCAGAAGGCUGUCUGUCUACACUGAGAAGAAGGCAAGAAUA